rnacentral:rRNA from 1 species
GAGUUUGAUCCUGGCUCAGGAUGAACGCUAGCGGCAGGCUUAACACAUGCAAGUCGAGGGGAAACGGGGAAGCUUGCUUCCGCCGACGACCGGCGCACGGGUGCGUAACGCGUAUACAAUCUACCUUAUACUGGGGUAUAGCCUUUAGAAAUGAAGAUUAACCCCCCAUAGUCUCUUAGAGUGGCAUCACUUCUAGAGUAAAGGUUACGGUAUAAGAUGAGUAUGCGUUCUAUUAGUUUGUUGGUGUGGUAACGGCACACCAAGACUACGAUAGAUAGGGGCCCUGAGAGGGGGAUCCCCCACACUGGUACUGAGACACGGACCAGACUCCUACGGGAGGCAGCAGUGAGGAAUAUUGGACAAUGGAGGCAACUCUGAUCCAGCCAUGCCGCGUGUAGGAUGACUGCCCUAUGGGUUGUAAACUACUUUUAUACAGGAAGAAACACCUCUACGUGUAGAGGCUUGACGGUACUGUAAGAAUAAGGAUCGGCUAACUCCGUGCCAGCAGCCGCGGUAAUACGGAGGAUCCAAGCGUUAUCCGGAAUCAUUGGGUUUAAAGGGUCCGUAGGUGGAUAAUUAAGUCAGAGGUGAAAUCUUGCAGCUCAACUGUAAAAUUGCCUUUGAUACUGGUUAUCUUGAGUUAUUAUGAAGUAGUUAGAAUAUGUAGUGUAGCGGUGAAAUGCAUAGAUAUUACAUAGAAUACCAAUUGCGAAGGCAGAUUACUAAUAAUCGACUGGCACUGAUGGACGAAAGCGUGGGUAGCGAACAGGAUUAGAUACCCUGGUAGUCCACGCCGUAAACGAUGGUUACUAGCUGUUUGGACUUCGGUCUGAGUGGCUAAGCGAAAGUGAUAAGUAACCCACCUGGGGAGUACGUUCGCAAGAAUGAAACUCAAAGGAAUUGACGGGGGCCCGCACAAGCGGUGGAGCAUGUGGUUUAAUUCGAUGAUACGCGAGGAACCUUACCAGGGCUUAAAUGUAAGUUGCAUUAGUUAGAGAUAGCUAUUUCUUCGGACCACCUACAAGGUGCUGCAUGGUUGUCGUCAGCUCGUGCCGUGAGGUGUCAGGUUAAGUCCUAUAACGAGCGCAACCCCUGUUGUUAGUUGCCAGCGAUUCAAGUCGGGAACUCUAACAAGACUGCCAGUGCAAACUGUGAGGAAGGUGGGGAUGACGUCAAAUCAUCACGGCCCUUACGUCCUGGGCUACACACGUGCUACAAUGGUAUGGACAAUGAGCAGCCACUAUGCGAAUAGGAGCGAAUCUACAAACCAUAUCACAGUUCGGAUCGGAGUCUGCAACUCGACUCCGUGAAGCUGGAAUCGCUAGUAAUCGGAUAUCAGCCAUGAUCCGGUGAAUACGUUCCCGGGCCUUGUACACACCGCCCGUC